UUACUCAUCUAUACAUAUAAUAAAAUCGUAGAAAAGUGCUGUCUGUACAUUGAAAAUAAAAAUAAAAAAAAUAGCAGGGGUUAUUGUUAUGUCGAUGUCGAACCCAAAAAUGUAAUUAACUUUUUUUUUGUCUGUUUGUCUGUUUGUCUGUUUGUCUGUUUGUCUGUUCGUCUGUGCGCGCUAAUCUCAGAAACGGCUGAUCCGAGUUGGAUGCGGUUUUCACGAAUAUAUUGUGGGAUGCUUAAAUUUACAUUUAGUGUUUGUUUCAUGUCAAUCGGUUCAUAAAUAAAAAAGUUAUGUCAAAUUAAAGAAUCACGUCGAACAUUCUAUGCUUAUACCAUUAAUCUCCGCAACUAUUUGACGGAUUUGGUUGAAAUUUGGUACAGAUAUAGUUUAAAACCUUAGAAAGGACAUAGAUAUUUUUUUAUUUCAAAAAUCAAAAAAUUAAAAUAAGAAAUAAAUUAUUUAUAAAUAAUUCUAUGUCGAUCGUUACACGACUUCGGUUCAUGUUAUUGUUUUAAUUUAUCGAAAAAAAGUAAAUAAAUAGUAAAAAGGUAUGAAAAAAAUAAUAUCAAUAUAAUAAAACAUUUAGUACAAAGAAAAUGCUCUAACGGAGUAUAGAUAAUUCUAUGUCGAUCGUUACACGACUUCGGUUCAUGUUAUUGUUUUAAUUCAUCGAAAAAAAGUAAAUAAAUAGUAAAAAGGUAUGAAAAAAAUAAUAUCAAUAUAAUAAAACAUUUAGUACAAAGAAAAUGCUCUAACGGAGUAUAGAUAAUUCUAUGUCGAUCGUUACACGACUUCGGUUCAUGUUAUUGUUUUAAUUCAUCGAAAAAAAGUAAAUAAAUAGUAAAAAGGUAUGAAAAAAAUAAUAUCAAUAUAAUUAAACUUUUAGUACAAAGAAAAUGCCCGAACGGAGUAUAAAUAAAUAAUCCAAGUUGUCUUUAUCCUCGAUAGAUGGCGUUGGGAUCGAAAUAGAUCGCGCUAUGGUUUCGUUACAUUCAUUUGGUUGGGUAUCGGCCGAGCGCUUCGGUACUAUCGUAGAAAAAGUGUAUUAUCAGUCGUAUGAUUAUUUGUCUGUAGUGGUCCUGCUGUUUCGUAUAUUCUAAAUUGGUUUCGUUGUAUUUGUCAAUUAAUAAGU